UGGGGAAUAUUGCACAAUGGACGGAAGUUUGAUGCAGCGACGCCGCGUGGAGGGUGUAGGCCUUCGGGUUGUGAACUCCUUUUUCUCGCGAAAAAGGCACAGUUUUGGCUGUGUUGAUGGUAGUGGGGGAAGAAGCGCCGGCUAACUACGUGCCAGCAGCCGCGGUAAUACGUAGGGCGCGAGCGUUGUCCGGAUUUAUUGGGCGUAAAGAGCUCGUAGGUGGUUCGUCGCGUCUGUAGUGAAAGCCAGCAGCUUAACUGUUGGUCUGCGGUGGGUACGGGCGGGCUUGAGUGCGGUAGGGGUGACUGGAAUUCCUGGUGUAGCGGUGGAAUGCGCAGAUAUCAGGAGGAACACCGAUGGCGAAGGCAGGUCACUGGGCCGUUACUGACACUGAGGAGCGAAAGCGUGGGGAGCGAACAGGA
rnacentral:rRNA from 1 species